rnacentral:rRNA from 1 species
ACGGGCGGUGUGUACAAGGAGCGGGGACGUAUUCACCGCGGGAUGGUGACCCGCGAUUACUAGGGAUUCCAGGUUCACGAGGGCGGGUUCCAGCCCUCGAUCCCAACUGAGGUGGGGGUUCGGGAUUACCUCCCCCUUUCGGGAUCGGAUCCCAUUGUCCCCACCAUUGCAGCCCGCGUGUGGCCCAGGGGUUUCGGGGCAUACUGACCUGCCGUAGCCCCCUCCUUCCUCCGCCUUAUCGGCGGCGGUCCCACCAGUUUCCUCUAUGUACCUUUCGGAACAUAGAAGCAACUGGCAGCGAGGGUCUCGCUCGUUGCCUGACUUAACAGGACACUUCACAGCACGAGCUGGCGACGGCCAUGCACCUCCUCUCGGCUUGUCAGGUAAGGUCUUUAGCCUGACCUUCACUCUGCCGUCACCCCUGGAAGGUCCCGGCGUACU